CAGCAACGCGUGGUGCCGGGAGCUGAGCUGCGCCUUGGGGCGGCUGCAGCGGGGCCACGGCGUCGCCGUUCACGUCCUCCGAGCGGUGCACAACGACUUCUUCCGAGCGGCGACGUUCAGCAGCGUGCGGAUCGUCAGCACCGCGACGCUGAGCGCGGCGGGCAGCGCAGUGCUGCUGCUGGAUGAGGGCGCGCAUCGGAGCGAGACGGUGCUGGAGGUGCUGCGGGAGCGGCGCGUGCCCGUGUCGCUCUGGAUCCUGGUGGGCAGCGCGCUGGGGGGGCUGCUGCUGCUGGCGGCCAUCAGCGUCUGCCUGUGGAAGUUCGGUUUCUUCGCCCGCAAGAAGCCCCACGAGGAGGAGGAGGAGCAGUGAUGGCCCCGCGCUUCCCACCCGCCGCAGCCCCACGGAGGAGCUGUGCCCCCUUCUUUCCCCCCCCCCCCCCUUCCCAGCGCUGGGGCCGCCCCACGGGUUCCGCACGAUGGAACGGAGCGGCGAUGGCGGUGCGGGGACGGCGCCGGGCGCGGACAGGGCGCGGGGCAGAGGAG